GUUUGCCGAUCCCAAUAUAUCAGGUUCAUAUGCACAUAAGGAGGAUACUGUUUGUAUUUGCAAGAGGAGAGGUGGAAGUGAUAGCAGAGGCCUGAUGCAUAAUCAGUGGUUACAAAGUGUUGAUCAGGAGCCUGAUGUGAUCUCAAUGUCCUUCAUUCCUAUAACUUCACUGUUGAAUGGCAUCUCAGGAAGUGGAUUUUUAAGUCAUGCUAUAAAUUUGUACUUACGCUAUAAACCACCAAUUGAAGAGCUUCACCAGUUUUUGGAAUUUCAGC
rnacentral:misc_RNA from 1 species